AGCUUGCUACCCGCUGACNAGCGGCGGACGGGUGAGUAAUGCAUAGGAAUCUGCCCGGUAGUGGGGGAUAACCUGGGGAAACCCAGGCUAAUACCGCAUACGUCCUACGGGAGAAAGGGGGCUCCGGCUCCCGCUAUUGGAUGAGCCUAUGUCGGAUUAGCUAGUUGGUGAGGUAAUGGCUCACCAAGGCGACGAUCCGUAGCUGGUCUGAGAGGAUGAUCAGCCACAUCGGGACUGAGACACGGCCCGAACUCCUACGGGAGGCAGCAGUGGGGAAUAUUGGACAAUGGGCGAAAGCCUGAUCCAGCCAUGCCGCGUGUGUGAAGAAGGCCCUCGGGUUGUAAAGCACUUUCAGCGAGGAAGAACGCCUAGUGGUUAAUACCCACUAGGAAAGACAUCACUCGCAGAAGAAGCACCGGCUAACUCCGUGCCAGCAGCCGCGGUAAUACGGAGGGUGCAAGCGUUAAUCGGAAUUACUGGGCGUAAAGCGCGCGUAGGUGGCUUGAUAAGCCGGUUGUGAAAGCCCCGGGCUCAACCUGGGAACGGCAUCCGGAACUGUCAAGCUAGAGUGCAGGAGAGGAAGGUAGAAUUCCCGGUGUAGCGGUGAAAUGCGUAGAGAUCGGGAGGAAUACCAGUGGCGAAGGCGGCCUUCUGGACUGACACUGACACUGAGGUGCGAAAGCGUGGGUAGCAAACAGGAUUAGAUACCCUGGUAGUCCACGCCGUAAACGAUGUCGACCAGCCGUUGGGUGCCUAGCGCACUUUGUGGCGAAGUUAACGCGAUAAGUCGACCGCCUGGG
rnacentral:rRNA from 1 species